rnacentral:rRNA from 1 species
GUUAGUCGUUCACCUGCAGAGGGGAAUAGCAGGUUGUGCAUCUCUGUUAGAGACUAUUACUGUUACAUGCUACAAACACGGCCUGCGAUCUUCAAUCCCACACUAUGUGGAGCACGCCUACUGCAGCAAUGGGCAGUCUACAUGUAUGUCAAGAUUGAGAGUUGCCGGUUGCGCUGGUUCAGGAAGAACCAGACGCAGAUUCGGGCCGACUUGUAUAAAGGAGUUGUUGACGCCAUCACAUCGGGGGAGACGCGAGCAAGCGCUGUUGGGACAAGGAUAGUGCUCCCCGGAACAUACCCAGGUGGCGACCGUGACAUGAAGAAGAGGCAUAUGGAUGCCAUGGCAAUUGUCCAUACAUACGGGAAGCCUGACAUCUUCUUGACCAUGACUUGCAAUCCAAAAUGGGAAGAGAUAACUAAUGAGUUGCUACCUGGUCAGACGGUGCAAGACCAACCUGAUAUUGUGCCUCACGUGUUCUACGGCGAACUAGAGGCUAUGAAAGACAUGUUGUUCAAGAAGCAGAUUCUGGGUGUUGUUGUCGCCUAUGUAUACGUAGUUGAGUUCCAAAAAAAGGGGCCUUCCCCACGCACAUUUAUUGUUGAUCAUGGACUCAACAUAUAA